rnacentral:sRNA from 1 species
GGUCCGACACCGCCGAGUCGCUCGCCGAGCGAGCCGGGGACCCAGGUUUCCGGGGUGAAUCCGCAGCCACUGCGGUAGGGCGCCGACCUUCCCGCCCGAACCCGUCAGCUAACCCGGUAGGCGGUCAGGAAGAAGGA